rnacentral:rRNA from 1 species
CCUACGGGAGGCAGCAGUGGGGAAUUUUGGACAAUGGGCGCAAGCCUGAUCCAGCAAUGCCGCGUGAGUGAAGAAGGCCUUCGGGUUGUAAAGCUCUUUUGUCAGGGAAGAAACGGUGAAGGCUAAUAUCUUUUGCUAAUGACGGUACCUGAAGAAUAAGCACCGGCUAACUACGUGCCAGCAGCCGCGGUAAUACGUAGGGUGCAAGCGUUAAUCGGAAUUACUGGGCGUAAAGCGUGCGCAGGCGGUUUUGUAAGUUUGUCGUGAAAUCCCCGGGCUCAACCUGGGAAUGGCGAUGAAGACUGCAAGGCUAAAAUCUGGCAGAGGGGGGUAGAAUUCCACGUGUAGCAGUGAAAUGCGUAGAGAUGUGGAGGAACACCGAUGGCGAAGGCAGCCCCCUGGGUCAAGAUUGACGCUCAUGCACGAAAGCGUGGGGAGCAAACAGGAUUAGAUACCCUGGUAGUCCACGCCCUAAACGAUGUCUACUAGUUGUCGGGUUUUAAUAACUUGGUAACGCAGCUAACGCGUGAAGUAGACCGCCUGGGGAGUACGGUCGCAAGNUUAAAACNCAAAGGAUUGACCGGNNGAGAGNGCGAGACGACGACGAGGGAGGAGG